GACGAACGCUGGCGGCGUGCUUAACACAUGCAAGUCGAACGGUAAGGCUCCAGCUUGCUGGGGUACACGAGUGGCGAACGGGUGAGCAACACGUGGGUGACCUGCCCUGCACUUCGGGAUAAGCCUGGGAAACUGGGUCUAAUACCGGAUAGGACCGCACCGUGAGGGUGUGGUGGAAAGUUUUUUCGGUGUGGGAUGGGCCCGCGGCCUAUCAGCUUGUUGGUGGGGUAAUGGCCUACCAAGGCGGCGACGGGUAGCCGGCCUGAGAGGGUGGACGGCCACAUUGGGACUGAGACACGGCCCAGACUCCUACGGGAGGCAGCAGUGGGGAAUAUUGCACAAUGGGCGGAAGCCUGAUGCAGCGACGCCGCGUGGGGGAUGACGGCCUUCGGGUUGUAAACUCCUUUCACCAUCGACGAAGGGUUUCUGACGGUAGAUGGAGAAGAAGCACCGGCUAACUACGUGCCAGCAGCCGCGGUAAUACGUAGGGUGCGAGCGUUGUCCGGAAUUACUGGGCGUAAAGAGCUCGUAGGUGGUUUGUCGCGUCGUCUGUGAAAUUCCGGGGCUUAACUCCGGGCGUGCAGGCGAUACGGGCAUAACUUGAGUACUGUAGGGGAGACUGGAAUUCCUGGUGUAGCGGUGAAAUGCGCAGAUAUCAGGAGGAACACCGGUGGCGAAGGCGGGUCUCUGGGCAGUAACUGACGCUGAGGAGCGAAAGCAUGGGGAGCGAACAGGAUUAGAUACCCUGGUAGUCCAUGCCGUAAACGGUGGGCGCUAGGUGUGGGUUUCCUUCCACGGGAUCCGUGCCGUAGCUAACGCAUUAAGCGCCCCGCCUGGGGAGUACGGCCGCAAGGCUAAAACUCAAAGGAAUUGACGGGGGCCCGCACAAGCGGCGGAGCAUGUGGAUUAAUUCGAUGCAACGCGAAGAACCUUACCUGGGCUUGACAUAUACAGGAUCGCGCCAGAGAUGGUGUUUCCCUUGUGGCUUGUAUACAGGUGGUGCAUGGUUGUCGUCAGCUCGUGUCGUGAGAUGUUGGGUUAAGUCCCGCAACGAGCGCAACCCUUGUCUUAUGUUGCCAGCACGUUGUGGUGGGGACUCGUAAGAAACUGCCGGGGUUAACUCGGAGGAAGGUGGGGAUGACGUCAAAUCAUCAUGCCCCUUAUGUCCAGGGCUUCACACAUGCUACAAUGGUCGGUACAGUGGGUUGCCAGUCCGUGAGGGCGAGCUAAUCCCGCAAAGCCGGUCUCAGUUCGGAUCGGGGUCUGCAACUCGACCCCGUGAAGUCGGAGUCGCUAGUAAUCGCAGAUCAGCAACGCUGCGGUGAAUACGUUCCCGGGCCU
rnacentral:rRNA from 1 species